rnacentral:rRNA from 1 species
UACGGAGGAUCCAAGCGUUAUCCGGAUUUAUUGGGGUUAAAGGGUGCGUAGGCGGCUUUUUAAGUCAGGGGUGAAAGACGGUAGCUUAACUAUCGCAGUGCCCUUGAUACUGAAGAGCUUGAAUAUACUUGAGGUAGGCGGAAUGUGACAAGUAGCGGUGAAAUGCAUAGAUAUGUCACAGAACACCAAUUGCGAAGGCAGCUUACUAAGGUAUGAUUGACGCUGAGGCACGAAAGCGUGGGGAUCAAACGGG